rnacentral:lncRNA from 1 species
GUGGUCUGGAGCUUAGGAGAGGCUUUAGAAAGAAGUUCAAUAAAUCUAAUCUCCCUCUUUACCUUUGUUCAAUAUAUAAUAGAAAUCAUUGGAGUUUCUUGAGCAGCGGACUUCCAUGAAUCAGAGGUUCUCUUAAGAAAAUCAAUUUAGCUUGUCGAACAAUUAGUUUAGGUGGGAAGGAAUGCAUGGUGUUCUUUACUGGGGAGAUAUGAGAGACAAUUUACAGUAAGAACUCACUUUUCCUGGCUGAGGAAGGUUCCCAGCUAACUUUUGGAGUUCCUCCUGAAGCACUAGCUUCUCUUUCCGCUCCCACCAGCUCCACUUCUCCAAUCACUUGAGUAGUUUUAUUCUUGAGAUGCAAGCAAAAAGCAAAUAACCUCUCUGGAAUAUUUCUUGUUCCUAAAAAGCCAUACAUGUCAUUUUUAUGUGAUUUUAGAGAAAUAUUUUUAAAAUAAAAUUAUAGGGAUAUAGUCCAAUAAUUGGUAGCCACACCUUCUAAACAAAGCUUCCUGUUUCCCGGAAAAUUUCUAACCCACAUUAGUACUUAACGCAUCCAAUACUCUCAACGCCACUAUCUCCCACCUUGCCCUCCACCACAUGCUCCCAUAUCCUCUUAUGAUUCGCAGCUUUCUAGAUUCUCUUCCAUUUGGUCUCUCACCUACUUCUCAUUUCUUCCCAGGGCUUCUUUUAAUUCAACAAAUUUUAUUCAGUAUUCGUAAUAAUCAUUCCUGUUUUAUAAAUAGUUAAUAGAAAGGGAAGCUAUUUGUAUCAAUUAAAUCAAGUUCUCUAUUUCUCUGCCAUGAUAUAUAAAUUAUAAAGACCUAAA